CCUACGGGUGGCAGCAGUGGGGAAUAUUGGGCAAUGGGCGCAAGCCUGACCCAGCAACGCCGCGUGAAGGCAGAAGGCUUUCGGGUUGUAAACUUCUUUUAAUAGGGACGAGCAUAAGACGGUACCUCUUGAAUACACCACGUCUAAAUACGUGCCAGCAGCCGCGGUAAUACGUAGGUGGCAAGCGUUGUCCGGAUUUACUGGGUGUAAAGGGCGUGUAGCCGGGCUGACAAGUCAGAUGUGAAAUUCCGGGGCUCAACCACGGACCUGCAUUUGAAACUGUUUGUCUUGAGUAUCGGAGAGGCAGGCGGAAUUCCUAGUGUAGCGGUGAAAUGCGUAGAUAUUAGGAGGAACACCAGUGGCGAAGGCGGCCUGCUGGACGACAACUGACGGUGAGGCGCGAAAGCGUGGGGAGCAAACAGGAUUAGAUACCCGAGUAGUC
rnacentral:rRNA from 1 species